rnacentral:rRNA from 1 species
AAAUUGAAGAGUUUGAUCAUGGCUCAGAUUGAACGCUGGCGGCAGGCCUAACACAUGCAAGUCGAACGGUAACAGGAAACAGCUUGCUGUUUCGCUGACGAGUGGCGGACGGGUGAGUAAUAUCUGGGAAACUGCCUGAUGGAGGGGGAUAACUACUGGAAACGGUAGCUAAUACCGCAUAACGUCGCAAGACCAAAGAGGGGGACCUUCGGGCCUCUUGCCAUCGGAUGUGCCCAGAUGGGAUUAGCUUGUUGGUGGGGUAACGGCUCACC